GAUGAACGCUAGCGGCAGGCUUAAUACAUGCAAGUCGAGGGGCAGCACGAAUAGCAAUAUUUGGUGGCGACCGGCGCACGGGUGCGUAACACGUAUACAACCUACCUAUAACAGGGGGAGUAGCCUUUCGAAAGAGAGAUUAAUACCCCGUAACUAAAUUGAGUGGCAUCACUUGAUUUUGAAAGCUACGGCGGUUAUAGAUGGGUAUGCGUCUGAUUAGCUAGUUGGUGAGGUAACGGCUCACCAAGGCGACGAUCAGUAGGGGAUCUGAGAGGACUAACCCCCACACUGGUACUGAGACACGGACCAGACUCCUACGGGAGGCAGCAGU
rnacentral:rRNA from 1 species